rnacentral:lncRNA from 1 species
CCUUACAGGCUACAUAUAAAAAAAAAUUCUACUGAAAAUUGACCUCCAAUGCGCUCUUAUACCAGUGCAUUGGCGAUACACAAUGUGACCGUACUGAACAUGAAUGUAUUUAAGUCUCGAUGUUACUUAAUCGAACUAACUAAUCAAAUGAAUGAGAUUGAAGAAUAACCAAGUUAUUGUAUAAUUCCCAAAUAAAUACUAGACCUAAUUCAAAUUAUGGAUCCGUGGACCAUAUCAGUUUCAUUUGCGUAUUUGUUCUGGCUUGCAGACCACUAACUGAAGCAAGAGUUUGUAUAGUUACAUAAUUUAGUUACUUAUUAUAAGUCACGAGGUUUGCCUACUUCUAAAAUGUAUGCAUAGUACAACUUUAAGUGAUUUUAUGUAUCUUUUAUUAUAGAGUUUUAUAAUUGGCAUAAGUAGAUUACGUAAUUUGUAAUUGUAAAUUCAAAAUACAAUAGAGUUACACAAAUUCUUAUUGUUGUGUUUAAUUUUCAUCAAAAGUUUCUGCUUUCAUUACUUUAUUUAUAGUGCUUUGAUUAUGUAUGUAAUUACAAUCUAUUGAACAACUGUUCAAGAAUGACUAUGUAAUAUGUUUUAUUAUAUCAUUACGUCUUCCGAUUAGCAUUAUAUUUUCUUGUUCAUUUUUGUUUCUAAAGCUUCUUUCGUGCUAAUCAUUAGUUUUUAAUACAUUCCUACAAAAUGUAUACAUAUUUAAUGAUGAUUACUAAAUAGUAUGUAUCUAUCAUAUUUAUAUGACGAAAAAUGAUGAAAUCUUUGUAAAAACAUACACAAUAAAGUAUUUCUUAGUUUAAUUAUAUUCUGUCGGUGGAUGAAUUAUAAUUAUUAUUCAACAUUUUGAAUCAUUCAAAUUUCACUGUAAUUAAUAUUUAUCUACUCCAUUGCAAUGAACACUGUACAUUUAAAAAGUGAAGCUAAAAGGGAACAAUUGGACAAAGUUUUUCAUACUUAACAUCGAUACAUUUUUUACCAUAUUUUGGUCUUUGUGGAAUCCGAGUGAGUGAGUAAAUAAGAAAACUGUUUCAAAGAUAGGAGAUUAUUGAAGAUUCUAUGUGGUUUUCCAACUGGAGGGAAAAUGGCUAAUUUAAAAAAAAAAUUAUUAAUUCAUUUUUUUUAAUUGAUGGAACUUAGUUGACACAGGUUCGGGUAUUACCUGGGCCCAUCCAUAGUUUUACCUAAUCAUAUGAUCUAUGAGUCAUAAAGAUGGGAUUUUUAGCUAAAAAACACACACAUUUUAGCAAAUAGAAAAAAUGAAAAUGAGUUAUUAAAGAGUAUAGGCUCAUUCAUAAUCUCUCUUCUUAAUAGAUCCUCGUUAUGUGAACAUCGUCCUCUGAAAAAGAAUUAUAGCUAAUCUUUGGUGUAACUUGUUAUGAAAAUGCUUAUAAAAUAAAUAUACAUAUAUUUAAAAAU